UAGAUUGAAGCCCGCUGGUUUGGGUUUUUAGUUGUUAACUAAGGAUUUUACGGGAUCGAGGCCCGUCGAUCUAGU
rnacentral:tRNA from 1 species